UACGUAGGGACCAAGCGUUGUUCGGAUUUACUGGGCGUAAAGGGCGCGUAGGCGGCGCGGUAAGUCACUUGUGAAAUCUCUGAGCUUAACUCAGAACGGCCAAGUGAUACUGCAGUGCUAGAGUGCGGAAGGGGCAAUCGGAAUUCUUGGUGUAGCGGUGAAAUGCGUAGAUAUCAGGAGGAAUACCGAUGGCGAAGGCAGGUCUCUGGGCUGACACUGACGCUCAUGCACGAAAGCGUGGGGAGCAAACAGG
rnacentral:rRNA from 1 species